rnacentral:rRNA from 1 species
UCGAGAAUCUUUCUCAAUGGACGAAAGUCUGAAGAUGCAACGCCGCGUGAGGGACGAAGGCCUUCGGGUCGUAAACCUCUUUUGUUAGGGAGGAAACGUAAACGGUAAAUAAUCGUUUGCACUGACUGUACCUGACGAAUAAGCCACGGCUAGCUCCGUGCCAGCAGCCGCGGUAAUACGGAGGUGGCGAGCGUUACUCGGUUUGACUAGGUGUAAAGGGUCCGUAGGUGGCCUCGCAAGUGGAAGGUGAAAUCCUUUAGCUCAACUAAAGAAUUGCCUUUCAAACUGCAUGGCUUGAGGUUGGGAGGGGAUAGCGGAACUGCUAGUGUAAAAGUGAAAUUUGUGGAUAUUAGCAGGAACGCCUGUGGAGAAGUCGGCUAUCUGGUCCAUACCUGACACUGAGGGACGAAAGCUAGGGGAGCAAACAGG